AUUUAGAAGAAUUUAAUUUUGGUUCUGAUUGAACGUUUUUCAGUAGUUUUAAGACAUGCGAAUCAUUGUUUAUAAUAAGUUAAUUAUUAUUUAAAAUAAUAUAAACUUAUAAAAAAUAAGGUGUAAAGGUGAGUAAUAUAGAUUAGAUACCUUGUAGUCUUCUUAAAUAGGAGAUAAUUUACUUAUUAGUUUAAAUUUUUAAUUUAAAUUUAAGUAAAGAUAAAUAAGCUAUUUAUUAAAUAAAGGAAAUUUUCUGCUAUAAGAUUCGAUCUAUUCUGUUUAAGGGUAGUUGGUAGGGUAAAAGCCUACCAAGCCAACGAUCAGAAGCCAUGUUUGAGAGAUCAGAUGGCCACAUUGGGAAUGAAAUGUCCCUAGUAGUGUUAAACUACCAGCAGUCAAGAAUAUUAGUCAAUGCUCGAAAGAGUGAACUAGCUAACUGAAAUCACAUUUUGAUCUUCGGGAGAAGUGAUAAAUGUCCAUAGUAAGGGAAAAAAAUGAUGCUACCUUACUCUAAGUGUUGUCCAAAUCUGGUGCCAGAAGACUCGGUAAGGCCAGAAACGCGAACGUUAGUCACAUUGACCAGGCGUAAAGGGUAUGUAGGCAGCUUAAAAGUUUUAUUUUUAUAAUAGCUAUUUCAAAUAAAAAUAUUGUUUGAUUUUAAAAAUAAAAUUAAUUUAAGAUAGAAUCAAAUUGAGGAUAAGCCGAAUAAUAUUUAGUGUAGGGAUUAAAUAUGCAAAUACUAAAUGGAAUACUAAAGGUGAAAGCUUUUUAUCUAAUAUUGAUCGACGCUGAGAUACGAAGGUGGGAAAAGGAAAUAGGAUUAGAGACCCUGGUACCUCCCACAGUCAACGAUGAAUGGUAGAUUGUUAGUUUUUUUUUAAAACUAGUACCGAUGUUAACGCGAUAACCAUUCCGCCUUGAGAGUACGGUUGCAAAACUGGAACCAAAAAAAUUAGUCGGUCUCGGAGCAAACGAAGUGAAGCAUGUUAUUUAAUACGAUAAUCCGCGUAAAAUCUUACCAGUUCUUGUAUAGCCGUAUUUACUUAGAAAAUUGUAUUGGCAUUUUUUUAUUUUCUUAAAUAAAAUUAAGUAAUAGAAGAAUGUGAUAUAAUUCUUUUAUAGUAAUAUAUGAGUAGUUAUUAUUAACUUAAUAACUCGUUUACAGGUGUUGCAUGGCUGUCGUCAGUCCGUGUUUUGAGAAGUUAGGUUAAAUCCACUAACGGACAAAAUCCCUGUUGUAAAUUUAUACUUUACAAUUAAUGAAUUUUAUAUACUUUCAUUUGGGGCUAAGACAAGUCGUUAUGGCCCUAAUGAACUGGGCUAUAGAUGUGCCACAAGGACUUUUACAAAGUGAUGCAAAAACCAGACCUUAUAUUUAUUGAAUUAUUUUCACAAUAAAUAUGUUAUGUUUUUCUAAAUAAAAUUAGAAAAAUUUAAGGAUCAUAAGGAAUAGCUAAUCAUUAAAGAAAGUUAAUAUUAUUAAAAUUUUUUUGACGGAUUGUUGCCUGAAAUUCGGCGACAUGAAGAAGGAAUUUCGAGUAAUCGUUGAUCACUAGCCGCAACGGUGAAGAGUGCAUCCGUGAUGAACUAACCGUCUGUCACUGGGAAGGAAUUCGGAUAGGGGGAAAUUGUAGCCUAAUUAUAACUAUUCAAAGAUAUUUAGUUUUAAUAUAAAAUUAAAAACUUUAUUGAUUUAAUAAAUCUUUUUGAAAAAAAAACAUCUUUGUUUAAAUAAUUAGCUAUUUUUAACCCAUUUGAGUAACAUCUCAAAAGUCAUAGCAAGGUAGCUGUACUGGAAGGUGCUGCUGGAAAAUAAAUUUA
rnacentral:rRNA from 1 species